UCCAGGAGGGCCUGGAGAAAUAAUACCUCCUUCUAUCCUGAGGCAUGCCGCCAGGUUCUUGGGAGGGUUGUCUAGAUCUGCUUCGGAUUACACUGGGACACCAGGCAUGAGAAUGAUGGCCACAGAGUCCCCACAGAGAGACUCCCCGAAGACCUCCUGAGAAAGGUCCUCCUCACCUAGCAGUCUUCUUAGAGGCUUAAACAGCUGAACCGGAAGCAGGGAAACGUUACCACGGAGCGCUCCUUCAAACUUUGCCUUCCUCUGGGCCUCACCACACCUAAGUGCUUUUAAUUCGCAAUCUACUGGCAUCCAAACCACAAACUCUCAGUUGCUCAUCCUGUGGAACCAAAUGAGAUCACCACAAAGUGGCUCCAUGGAUGAAAGCCCUCUUUCCUCAGAAACUCACUGGAGCACCAGCCAAAGGCACUGUCCAAGGUUUUUCUUAAGAAAUACACCCUCUAAAACAGCAAUCCAGCCAUGUCAAAAGAUCACCCAGCUUAGUGAGAAUUCUCUGCAAGAAGUAUUUUUGGUAGUGUU